rnacentral:rRNA from 1 species
GACGAACGCUGGCGGCGUGCUUAACACAUGCAAGUCGAACGGUAAGGCCCUUCGGGGUACACGAGUGGCGAACGGGUGAGUAACACGUGGGUGAUCUGCCCUGCACUUCGGGAUAAGCCUGGGAAACUGGGUCUAAUACCGGAUAGGACCAUGGACUUCACGGUUUGUGGUGGAAAGCUUUUGCGGUGUGGGAUGGGCCCGCGGCCUAUCAGCUCGUUGGUGGGGUAAUGGCCUACCAAGGCGACGACGGGUAGCCGGCCUGAGAGGGUGUCCGGCCACACUGGGACUGAGAUACGGCCCAGACUCCUACGGGAGGCAGCAGUGGGGAAUAUUGCACAAUGGGCGCAAGCCUGAUGCAGCGACGCCGCGUGAGGGAUGACGGCCU